GCUUAUUCUCAGGGCGGGGCGAAAUUCCCCACCGGCGGUAAAUCAGCUUCGGCUGAAAGCCCGCGAGCGCUUUUGCUGUAAGGCGAAAGGUCAGCAGAUCCGGUGUAAUUCCGGGGCCGACGGUUAAAGUCCGGAUGGGAGAGGGUAACG
rnacentral:ncRNA from 1 species